GCGGCGCGCGCCGGCGGCCAUGGCGGCAGCGUGAGGGACCCGCCGCCCUCCCUGGGAACCUUGUCCUCCCCCCGUGCCGAGCCGAGCCGCCCACAGACCUCCGUCGGACGCGCGUUUCCGCCCCCCCCCCCCCCCGCCCGUUCUCGUAGGUGCUCCUGUGAGGAGGCGGCUGAAAGCGACGCUGCCCCCAGGAAAGCAUCAAUGGCGUGAGGGAGCCCCAGCACUCCCAGCUCCGCUCCGAAGGAGCGAUUUGUGUAGGUACAGGAACAGUUCCCAGCGCAGCCCAAGCCGCAGGUGAGGAGCCCCACAGCAGUGAUAUGAAGUACCCAGGGGUCAGGACACUGAAGUGACGAUGUGGUUGCUGCAAAAAAGAACUGUUUUCAAUGUCUGUGGGAACAGGACAAACAGCAAUGGAUUCAAGUAGCAGCAAAGAAAACUUUUUCUUCAGACAUGAGCAGGAGGAAGAAAGUUUUACCGGAGGAGAAAAAUGCUCUACUUACACAGUAGCUGGCACUGACCAACACAAGAAAGACUAUAUGUUGUAUCCUGGCAUUUCAGCAAUGAAUGAUAAAUUCUGUCAUCCACAUUACAAGGAGGUGUUGGAAAGACGGUGCGUACAAGCAGGCAUGUCCAGGAGAGUGCCAGCAGGGCUGCAGAUCCACUGCUCUUACUGU